rnacentral:rRNA from 1 species
CCUACGGGAGGCAGCAGUAAGGAAUAUUGGUCAAUGGAGGCAACUCUGAACCAGCCAUGCCGCGUGCAGGAUGAAGGCCCUAUGGGUCGUAAACUGCUUUUGUACCAGAGAAAACCCGAGUACGUGUACUCGGUUGAUAGUAUGGUAAGAAUAAGCAUCGGCUAACUUCGUGCCAGCAGCCGCGGUAAGACGAAGGAUGCAAGCGUUAUCCGGAUUCAUUGGGUUUAAAGGGUGCGUAGGCGGACUGAUAAGUCAGUGGUGAAAUCUCUCGGCUUAACCGAGAAACUGCCAUUGAUACUGUCAGUCUAGAGUACAGAUGAUGUGGGCGGAAUAUGACAUGUAGCGGUGAAAUGCUUAGAUAUGUCAUAGAACACCGAUUGCGAAGGCAGCUCACAAAACUGUAACUGACGCUGAGGCACGAAAGUGCGGGGAUCAAACAGGAUUAGAUACCCUGGUAGUCCGCACCGUAAACGAUGAUUACUCGUUGUUGGCAAUAUGACCGUCAGCGACCAAGCGAAAGCGANAAGUAAUCCACCUGGGGAGUACGCCGGCAACGGUGAAACGUCAAAUGAAUUGACGGCUUGGAGGACGNGCGAGGACGACACGAGGGAGGAGG